rnacentral:rRNA from 1 species
UACAGAGGGGGGCAAGCGUUGUUCGGAAUUACUGGGCGUAAAGGGCGCGUAGGCGGCCUGCUAAGUCGAACGUGAAAUCCCUGGGCUCAACCCAGGAACUGCGUCCGAUACUGGUUGGCUUGAAUCCGGGAGAGGGACGUGGAAUUCCAGGCGUAGCGGUGAAAAUGCGUAGAUAUCUGGAGGAAUACCGGUGGCGAAGGCGGCAUCCUGGACCGGCAUUGACGCUGAUGAGCGAAAAGCUAGGGGAGCAAACGGG